rnacentral:rRNA from 1 species
UACGGAGGGUGCAAGCGUUAUCCGGAUUUACUGGGCUUAAAGGGUGCGUAGGCGGGUUGAUAAGUCAGUGGUGAAAUCCCCGGGCCUAACCCGGGAACUGCCAUUGAUACUAUCAGUCUUGAAUACAGUUGAGGUGGGCGGAAUGUGUCGUGUAGCGGUGAAAUGCUUAGAUAUGACACAGAACACCGAUUGCGAAGGCAGCUCGCUAAACUGUGAUUGACGCUGAGGCACGAAAGCGUGGGGAUCAAACAGG